GUUAAGCGACUAAGCGUACACGGUGGAUGCCCUGGCAGUCAGAGGCGAUGAAGGACGUGCUAAUCUGCGAUAAGCGUCGGUAAGGUGAUAUGAACCGUUAUAACCGGCGAUUUCCGAAUGGGGAAACCCAGUGUGUUUCGACACACUAUCAUUAACUGAAUCCAUAGGUUAAUGAGGCGAACCGGGGGAACUGAAACAUCUAAGUACCCCGAGGAAAAGAAAUCAACCGAGAUUCCCCCAGUAGCGGCGAGCGAACGGGGAGCAGCCCAGAGCCUGAAUCAGUGUGUGUGUUAGUGGAAGCGUCUGGAAAGGCGCGCGAUACAGGGUGACAGCCCCGUACACAAAAAUGCACAUGCUGUGAGCUCGAUGAGUAGGGCGGGACACGUGGUAUCCUGUCUGAAUAUGGGGGGACCAUCCUCCAAGGCUAAAUACUCCUGACUGACCGAUAGUGAACCAGUACCGUGAGGGAAAGGCGAAAAGAACCCCGGCGAGGGGAGUGAAAAAGAACCUGAAACCGUGUACGUACAAGCAGUGGGAGCACGCUUAGGCGUGUGACUGCGUACCUUUUGUAUAAUGGGUCAGCGACUUAUAUUCUGUAGCAAGGUUAACCGAAUAGGGGAGCCGAAGGGAAACCGAGUCUUAACUGGGCGUUAAGUUGCAGGGUAUAGACCCGAAACCCGGUGAUCUAGCCAUGGGCAGGUUGAAGGUUGGGUAACACUAACUGGAGGACCGAACCGACUAAUGUUGAAAAAUUAGCGGAUGACUUGUGGCUGGGGGUGAAAGGCCAAUCAAACCGGGAGAUAGCUGGUUCUCCCCGAAAGCUAUUUAGGUAGCGCCUCGUGAAUUCAUCUCCGGGGGUAGAGCACUGUUUCGGCAAGGGGGUCAUCCCGACUUACCAACCCGAUGCAAACU
rnacentral:rRNA from 1 species